rnacentral:misc_RNA from 1 species
UGUAGGAGCGAGCAUGCUCGCGAUGAUGUUUCAGGCACAUCAGUGUCGACUGACACUCCAUCGCGAGCAAGCUCGCUCCCACA